CCUACGGGAGGCAGCAGUGAGGAAUAUUGGUCAAUGGGCUUACGCCUGAACCAGCCAAGUCGCGUGAGGGAAGACUGCCCUAUGGGUUGUAAACCUCUUUUGUCAGGGAGCAACGCCGGCUACGUGUAGCCGGACUGAGAGUACCUGAAGAAAAAGCAUCGGCUAACUCCGUGCCAGCAGCCGCGGUAAUACGGAGGAUGCGAGCGUUAUCCGGAUUUAUUGGGUUUAAGGGUUGCGUAGGCGGAAUGCCAAGUCAGCGGUAAAAUCGCGGGGCUCAACCUCGCUCCGCCGUUGAAACUGGCGGUCUUGAGUGGGCGAGAAGUAUGCGGAAUGCGUGGUGUAGCGGUGAAAUGCAUAGAUAUCGCGCAGAACUCCGAUUGCGAAGGCAGCAUACCGGCGCCCAACUGACGCUGAAGCACGAAAGCGUGGGUAUCGAACAGGAUUAGAUACCCGUGUAGUC
rnacentral:rRNA from 1 species